rnacentral:miRNA from 15 species
AGGGGCUGGUUUUCCUCUGGU